AGAGUUUGAUCCUGGCUCAGAUUGAACGCUGGCGGCAUGCUUUACACAUGCAAGUCGGACGGCAGCACAGAGAAGCUUGCUUCUUGGGUGGCGAGUGGCGAACGGGUGAGUAAUAUAUCGGAACGUACCGAGUAAUGGGGAUAACUAAUCGAAAGAUUAGCUAAUACCGCAUAUUCUCUGAGGAGGAAAGCAGGGGACCUUCGGGCCUUGCGUUAUUCGAGCGGCCGAUAUCUGAUUAGUUAGUUGGUGGGGUAAAGGCCUACCAAGGCGACGAUCAGUAGCGGGUCUGAGAGGAUGAUCCGCCACACUGGGACUGAGACACGGCCCAGACUCCUACGGGAGGCAGCAGUGGGGAAUUUUGGACAAUGGGCGCAAGCCUGAUCCAGCCAUGCCGCGUGUCUGAAGAAGGCCUUCGGGUUGUAAGGACUUUUGUCAGGGAAGAAAAGGCUGUUGCUAAUAUCGACAGCUGAUGACGGUACCUGAAGAAUAAGCCACCGGCUAACUACGUGCCAGCAGCCGCGGUAAUACGUAGGGUGCGAAGCGUUAAUCGGAAUUACUGGGCGUAAAGCGAGCGCAGACGGUUACUUAAGCAGGAUGUGAAAUCCCCGGGCUCAACCCGGGAACUGCGUUCUGAACUGGGUAACUAGAGUGUGUCAGAGGGAGGUAGAAUUCCACGUGUAGCAGUGAAAUGCGUAGAGAUGUGGAGGAAUACCGAUGGCGAAGGCAGCCUCCUGGGAUAACACUGACGUUCAUGCUCGAAAGCGUGGGUACAAACAGGAUUAGAUACCCUGGUAGUCCACGCCCUAAACGAUGUCAAUUAGCUGUUGGGCAACUUGAUUGCUUAGUAGCGUAGCUAACGCGUGAAAUUGACCGCCUGGGGAGUACGGUCGCAAGAUUAAAACUCAAAGGAAUUGACGGGGACCCGCACAAGCGGUGGAUGAUGUGGAUUAAUUCGAUGCAACGCGAAGAACCUUACCUGGUCUUGACAUGUACGGAAUCCUCCAGAGACGGAGGAGUGCCUUCGGGAGCCGUAACACAGGUGCUGCAUGGCUGUCGUCAGCUCGUGUCCGUGAGAUGUUGGGUUAAGUCCCGCAACGAGCGCAACCCCUUGUCAUUAGUUGCCAUCAUUUAGUUGGGCACUCUAAUGAGACUGCCGGUGACAAGCGGAGGAAGGUGGGGAUGACGUCAAGUCCUCAUGGCCCUUAUGACCAGGGCUUCACACGUCAUACAAUGGUCGGUACAGAGGGUAGCCAAGCCGCGAGGUGGAGCCAAUCUCACAAAACCGAUCGUAGUCCGGAUUGCACUCUGCAACUCGAGUGCAUGAAGUCGGAAUCGCUAGUAAUCGCAGGUCAGCAUACUGCGGUGAAUACGUUCCCGGGUCUUGUACACACCGCCCGUCACACCAUGGGAGUGGGGGAUACCAGAAGUAGGUAGGGUAACCGCAAGGAGUCCGCUUACCACGGUAUGCUUCAUGACUGGGGUGAAGUCGUAACAAGGUAGCCGUAGGGGAACCUGCGGCUGGAUCACCU
rnacentral:rRNA from 1 species